ACGCUCGACACCUACGGGAGCAGCAGUGGGGAAUAUUGCACAAUGGGGGAAACCCUGAUGCAGCGACGCCGCGUGAGCGAAGAAGUAUUUCGGUAUGUAAAGCUCUAUCAGCAGGGAAGAAACUGACGGUACCUGACUAAGAAGCACCGGCUAAAUACGUGCCAGCAGCCGCGGUAAUCUGAGCGGGCGUGGCAAGGC
rnacentral:rRNA from 1 species